rnacentral:rRNA from 1 species
CCUACGGGGGGCAGCAGUGGGGAAUAUUGCACAAUGGGGGAAACCCUGAUGCAGCGACGCCGCGUGAAGGAAGAAGUAUUUCGGUAUGUAAACUUCUAUCAGCAGGGAAGAAAAUGACGGUACCUGACUAAGAAGCCCCGGCUAACUACGUGCCAGCAGCCGCGGUAAUACGUAGGGGGCAAGCGUUAUCCGGAUUUACUGGGUGUAAAGGGAGCGUAGGCGGCGAUGCAAGUCAGAAGUGAAAGCCCGGGGCUCAACUCCGGGACUGCUUUUGAAACUGUAUGGCUAGAUUGCAGGAGAGGUAAGCGGAAUUCCUGGUGUAGCGGUGAAAUGCGUAGAUAUUAGGAGGAACACCAGUGGCGAAGGCGGCUUACUGGACUGUAACUGACGUUGAGGCUCGAAAGCGUGGGGAGCAAACAGGAUUAGAUACCCUAGUAGUC